GAUGAACGCUGGCGGCGUGCCUAACACAUGCCAGUCGAGCGAACGGACGAUAAGCUUGCUUCUUUGAUGUUAGCGGCGGACGGGUGAGUAACACGUGGAUAACCUACCUAUAAUUCUGGGAUAACUUCGGGAAACCGGAGCUAAUACCAGAUGAUAUUUUGAACCGCAUGGUUCAAUAGUGAAAGACGGCCUUGCUGUCUCUAAUAGAUGGAUCCGCGCUGGAUUAGCUGGUUGGUAAGGUAACGGCUUACCAAGGCUACGAUGCAUAGCCGACCUGAGAGGGUGAUCGGCCACACUGGAACUGAGACACGGUCCAGACUCCUACGGGAGGCAGCAGUAGGGAAUCUUCGGCAAUGGGCGAAAGCCUGACGGAGCAACGCCGCGUGAGUGAUGAAGGUCUUCGGAUCGUAAAACUCUGUUAUUAGGGAAGAACAGAUGUGUAAGUAACUGUGCACAUCUUGACGGUACCUAAUCAGAAAGCCACGGCUAACUACGUG
rnacentral:rRNA from 1 species